CUGCCUCCUCCAUCUCCUCCUCGGCUUCCCUGCGAACGAGCCCCCCGGUCUCGCUGCAACACGCCCGAGCUCCUCGAGCUUUCCUACGCCCGAGCUCCUCGCUUUCUCCGACCACAAAACCCCGCGCCAAACUCCAUACUUCCUGAUCCCCGACGAUGCGCCCGCGGCGGCGGACGACCGCGACGCCGACGACGACGACUACACCGAUGAGAAGGACGAGGACCCGAGGAAGCCCCUAGAGCUGUUCCUGCGAGGAGAGCUCAUCUCCUUCCUCCGCUCUCCGGCGACGCGCGAUCCACACGCACUCCAUCGAACUUCGCUGAGCACCUCCGCCGGGCUUCACCAAGCCGCGCCGUCAUCGGAGCUCACCAAGCCGCACUCUCCGCAAACCCCAGAGGUUCAUCGACAAUUGCAUGAUUGCGUGUCAACUCGCCUCCACCAAACUCACCCCCGCACUGGAUCAAUUCGCCACCGCUCACCAGGUGUUCGAUCCGUGGCCACAACGAGCCGUGGCACCGGUUCAGGCUGUGGCGCUCAAGGUGGAGCAUGCGCAGGCGGCGGAAUGCGUCGACGACUGGUGCGCAGCGGCGGGUGGCCUAUGAACGCCAACAAUGAAGACAUUCAACCGUCGGCGCUUCGUUGAUAAAACUCCGCCAGAACUCAUUCGACGAGUUCCUAGUCGUCGACGGUGCGUACCCCGCAAACAUGUAGCAGAUGCUGCUCCGACGGAAUUGGCGCCAACGGAUCACGCCCAUCAGUUACUUGACGAAAUGCCCAAGAUGUUUAAUUUCGAUGGCGAUCCUGAGAGAGAGAGCGGUGCUCUCCUCUCAAACGGAUUCCGCCCGCCAAAUGCUUGAUGUGCCCAGAGUCCGCCCACCAACUGUUCGACGGCGAUCCUGAGAGAGAGAGCGGUGCUCUCCUCUCAAACGGAUUCCGCCCGCCAAGUGCUCGAUGUGCCCGGAGUCCGCCCACCAACCGCUCAACGGUGAAUCUGAGAGAGAGAGCGGUGCUCUCCUCUCAAACAACGGCAAAUUUGAGAGAAAAAGAGAAAGAUAGUACUUCUCUAAUCA
rnacentral:lncRNA from 1 species